rnacentral:rRNA from 1 species
CCUACGGGAGGCAGCAGUGAGGAAUAUUGGUCAAUGGGCGUAAGCCUGAACCAGCCAAGUCGCGUGAGGGAUGAAGGUUCUAUGGAUCGUAAACCUCUUUUAUAAGGGAAUAAAGUGUGGGACGUGUCCUGUUUUGUAUGUACCUUAUGAAUAAGGAUCGGCUAACUCCGUGCCAGCAGCCGCGGUAAUACGGAGGAUCCGAUCUUUAUCCGGAUUUAUUGGGUUUAAAGGGUGCGUAGGCGGCCUUUUAAGUCAGCGGUGAAAGUCUGUGGCUCAACCAUAGAAUUGCCGUUGAAACUGGGAGGCUUGAGUAUGUUUGAGGCAGGCGGAAUGCGUGGUGUAGCGGUGAAAUGCUUAGAUAUCACGCAGAACCCCGAUUGCGAAGGCAGCCUGCCAAGCCAUGACUGACGCUGAUGCACGAAAGCGUGGGGAUCAAACAGGAUUAGAUACCCCAGUAGUC